UUUUUUAUGCCCCACCUACGAUAGUAGAGGGGCAUUAUGUUUUCUGGUCUGUGCGUCCGUUCGUCCGUCCGUCUGUUCGUUCGUUCGUCCGUUCGUUCGUUCGUUCGUUCGUCCGUCUGUCCCGCUUCAGGUUAAAGUUUUUGGUCAAGGUAGUUUUUGAAGAAGUUGAAGUCCAAUCGACUUCAAACUUAGUAUACAUGUUCCCUAUGAUAUGAUCUUUCUAAUUUUAAUGCCAAAUUAGAGGGUUUACCCCAAUUUCACGGUCCACUAAACAUAGAAAAUGAUAGUGCGAGUGGGGCAUUCGUGUACUGGGGACACAUUCUUGUUCUUGUAUGAGGCUGAGAAACUGGCCUUCAACAUUAAUUGACCUAAUAUUGUUUUUAUAACAUAUCAAUCUAUUAGUUCAGUCAGUUAUUUCCAUGUCUGUCCUUCGAUUAUGCAACUCAAGAAAAUAUUCCAAAAAAUGGGAAACAAUUGUAUCGAAAAGAGAAAAUCGAGUGCACCUUUUUUAUGUUAGGGUGUGUUUGAGAUGAAUAUUUUGUCUUGAAAAUGUACAAAACAAGAGUAUUUAAUGCAUCAUCUCGCUAUCAUUUUAUAUAGCAAAGCUACAAGUUGACUUUAUAACAUAAAAAAAAUCACAGUACUAAAAGAUGAAAUAUAGGGGUCAAGUGAAAUACCUAUCCAAUGGAUCACAAAAUCAGAGUAGGUGUGUUCGAAUAGCUAUUUUACUAAAAGUGCUUGACGACAGUCUUUAAGUAGGAUCUCUGAAAAAAAAUUGUCUUCCGUUUCUACGAUUGUGAAAAUGAACUGGUGUAAUAGGAAGAUAAUUUAGACGAAGUAGAAUCCUGUCUGUAUUGUAUAUUUACAGGUAAGGAAACAUGUGAGAAUAUGUAUCAUGUGAUGUUUUAAAAUUUAGUGUCCUUAACCUCCAACAUUACGUCCAAUAACAUUUAAGUAUGAUGUAUACAAGCUGAAGCCCCGCCUAUCUUAAUUACCAUGCUUGAGCAAACAUU
rnacentral:lncRNA from 1 species